rnacentral:rRNA from 1 species
AAUCAACGCUGGCGGCGUGCCUCAGACAUGCAAGUCGAACGCGAAAGUUCCCUUCGGGGAGCAAGUAGAGUGGCGCACGGGUGAGUAACACGUAGGUAAUCUACCUUUGGAUGGGGAAUAACAACCGGAAACGGUUGCUAAUACCGCAUAAUGCAGCGGCACCUAAUGGUGACAGUUGUUAAAGCGGGGGAUCGAAAGACCUCGCGUCUGAAGAGGAGCCUGCGGCGGAUUAGCAGUUGGUAAGGUAACGGCUUACCAAGGCGAUGAUCCGUAGCCGGCCUGAGGAGGGCGGUCGGCCACACUGACACUGACAUACGGGUC